rnacentral:tRNA from 1 species
GCGAAAGUGGUGGAAUUGGUAGACACGCUGGAUUUAGGAUCCAGUGGGAGCAAUCCUGUAGGGGUUCGAGUCCCCUCUUUCGCACCA